CACAAUGGAAGAAGAGAUUGCCACUCUGGUCAUUGACAAUGUCUCUGGCAUGUGCAAAGCUGGAUUUGCUGGGGACGACGCCCCCCGAGCUGUGUUCCCCUCCAUCCUCAGGCACCCCUGGUACCAGGGCAUGAUGGUGGGCAUGGGCCAGAAGGACUCCUAUGUGGGUGAUGAGGCCCAAAGCAAGCGCGGCAUCCUGACCCUGAAGAUUGGGACUCUGACCCCAUCAAGCAUGGCAUCAUCAUCAACUGGGAUGAUAUGAAGAUUUGGCACCACACCUUCUACAGCGAGCUGCGUGUGACCCCAGAGGAGCACCUGGUGCUGCUGACGGAGGCCCUUGUGAACCCCAAGGCCAACAGAGAGAAGAUGACCCAGAUCAUGUUUGAGACCUUCAACACCCUGUCCACGUAUGUGGCCAUCCAGGCCGUGCUGUCUCUCUAUGCCUCUGGACGCACCACUGGCAUUGUUUUGGACCCUGGAGAUGGGGUCAUCCACACGGUGCCCAUCUGCAAGGGCUAUACCCUCCCCCACAUCAUCUACGUCUGGACCUGGCUGGUGGGGACCUGACUGACUACCUCAUGAAGAUCCUCACUGAGCGCGGCUACAGCUUCACCACCAUGGCUGAGUGGGAAAUCGUGGGUGACAUCAAGGAGAAGCUGUGCUAUGUCACCCUGGACUUCGAACAGGAGAUGGCCACUGCUGCAUCCUCCUCCUCCCUGGAGAAGAGCUAGGAGCUGUACAACGGCCUGGUCAUCACCAUCAGCAACGAGUGGUCCUGGUGUCUGGAGGCACUGUUACAGCCUUCGUUCCUAGGCAUGGAAUCUUGCAGCAUGCAUGAGACCACCUUCAACUCCAUCAUGAAGUGUGAUGUGGACAUCUGCAAAUACCUACAUGUCAACAAGGUGCUGUUCGGUGCCACCACCAUGUACCCAGGCAUCGCCAACAGGAUGCAGAAGGUGAUCACCGCCCUGGCACCUGGCACCAUGAAGAUCAAGAUCAUUGCGCCCCCAGAGCGCAAGUACUCUGUGUGCAUCCGUGGCUCCAUCCUGGCCUCACUGUCCGCCUUCCAGCAGAUGUGGAUUAGCAAGCAGGAGUACAAUGAGUUGGUGCCUCCAUCGUCCACUGCAUAUGCUUCUAAAUGGACUGCAAACAGAUGCAUAGCAUUUGCUGCAUGGCUUAA